AAAGUCGUAACAAGGUUUCCGUAGGUGAACCUGCGGAAGGAUCAUUACAGAAUAAACUUGAUAAGUUGUAGCUGGCUCAUUUGAGUAUGUGCACACUUGUCAUCUUUAUCUUUCCACCAUGUGCACUAUGCAUAGGUUCUGAUGAAAUUUGAUCAAGGGUUUCUGACCUCUGGUUAUUGGAGAACUGCUGUUGGCGACAACAGCUUUCUCUGUUAUCAGUUCCUGUGAUUUUAUAAAUACACCAAGUAUGUUAAAGAAUGUUUACAUGGGCGCUUGUAGCCUAUAUAUCUAUAAUACAACUUUCAGCAACGGAUCUCUUGGCUCUC
rnacentral:misc_RNA from 1 species